rnacentral:tRNA from 2 species
GCCGGAGUGGUGGAAUUGGUAGACACGACGGAUUCAAAAUCCGUUGCCUUUGCGGGCGUGCCGGUUCAAGUCCGGCCUCCGGUACCA